UAAUAGUGUAUAUUAAAGUUGUUGCAGUUAAAAAGCUCGUAGUUGAAUGUUGGUGUCGAACGAGCGGUCAGCUUCGGCUGUACUGCUCUCUCGACUCCUUCCUUCUGUGGACUACGUCGCACUUUACUGUGUGGCGCUAGGACGCAGAUCGUUUACUGUGAAAAAAUUAGAGUGUUCAAAGCAGGCCGUACGCUUGAAUACAUUAGCAUGGAAUAAUGGAAUAGGACGUCGGGCCUAUUUUGUUGGUUCUAGGACCGUCGUAAUGAUUAAUAGGGACAGUUGGGGCCGUUUAUAUUCCGUAGUCAGAGGUGAAAUUCUUGGAUUUACGGAAGAUAAACUACUGCGAAAGCACUCGGCAAGGAUGUUUUCGUUAA
rnacentral:rRNA from 1 species